rnacentral:RNase_P_RNA from 1 species
AAAGCGGGCUGGGCAGUCGCCGGUCUUUUGAUCGGAGGAAAGUCCGGGCACCGUAGAGCAGGAUGCCAGCUAACCGCUGGGCGCCGUAAGGCGACGGAAAGUGCCACAGAGAGCAGACCGCCGAUGGCCCUUUGGGCACAGGCAAGGGUGAAAGGGUGCGGUAAGAGCGCACCGCCCGACUGGUAACAGUCGGGGCAGGGUAAACCCCAUCCGGUGCAAGACCAAAUAGGCACACAUGCAGCCUUUGCUGCACAGCCUUGCUCGGGCUGGUGUGCGGGUAGGUCGCUUGAGGCCUGCCGUGAGGUAGGCCCUAGAUGAAUGGCUGCCACCUCUGCGCGGGCAGAGGUACAAAACCCGGCUUAUAGGCCCGCUUUCACU